UACAAAAUGCCCGUGAGAGAUGCAAUUUGCUGGAACACGAUGAUCAAAGGCUGCUUGGACUGCGUGGACUUGACGACGGCGGAAGAGCUUUUUGAUGAAAUGCCUGAACCAAGUGUUGUUUCGUGGACAACGAUGAUAAAUGGGUUCUUUCGAUUUGGACAGGUUGAGCGGGCAGAGGUAUUUUUCAAGCAGAUGCCCAUAAGAGAUCUUGCUGCAUGGAAUGCAAUGAUUCAUGGGUAUUGUGAGAAUGCUAGAGUGGACAAUGCUGUGAAAUUGUUUGAGCAAAUGCCUUCCCGAAAUGUGAUCUCAUGGACUUCGAUGAUUGGCGGGCUUGACCAAAACGGCAUGAAGAUGGCCUGAAGGUGUUCAAUGACAUGAUGAGAACAAGCGUUCUUCCUAAUCAAUCUUCAUUUGUAAGCGCUCUAAAUUCUUGCUGUAGUUUAGAGUCUCUAGAUCGAGGUAAGGAGGUCCAUGCUUCAGCUGUAAAGCUGCAAUUGGGAAGUGAUGUAUUUGUUGGUAAUUCUCUUGUAGUCAUGUAUAGUAAGUGUGGGGCUGUUGAUGAUGCUGUUGUAGUGUUCAAAAGACUCAAGGAGAAGAACAUCGUCACCUGGAAUGCCAUUAUUUGCGGGUGUGCACAACAUGGCCGAGGGAUGUGGGCUAUGGAGUUGUUUAGCCAAAUGAUACGUGGACUGGUACAACCAGAUGAGAUCACACUCACGGGACUGCUUUCUUCGUGUAGUCAUUCUAGGAUGUUACAAAAGGGGAGAUGCUUGUUCAGAUAUUUUAGUGAGAACACUUCUAUCGAAUUGAAACACGAGCAUUAUGCAUGUAUGGUGGAUGUUCUAGGACGAUGUGGGAAGCUAGAGGAAGCAGAGGAUUUUGUAAGAAACAUGCCCCUUAAAACUAACUCCAUAGUGUGGCUUGCUUUGCUUAGUUCUUGUAGGAUGCGUUCUAACCUAGAUUUGGCAGAAAGAGCUGCAAACUAUAUUCUUGACCUAGAACCACAUUGUAGUGCUGCUUAUGUUUUACUGUCCAACUUCUAUGCUUCUGCUAAUAGAUGGGGUGAUGUCUUGCGAUUAAGAGUGACUAUGAGGGAUAAAGGGAUUGUGAAGCAACCAGGUAGAAGUUGGGUUACUAUAAAGGGGCAAAAGCAUAUAUUUCUUUCUGGGGAUAAAUCCCACUCUUUGAGUGAGAACAUAUAUUGGAAGCUGGAUUGGUUGAAUAUGAAGUUGAAGGAAUUGGGUUAUCUUCCAGAUAAGAGGUUCUCUCUCCAUGACGUGGAAGAUGAGCAGAAGGAAGAGUCAUUAUUUUACCAUAGUGAAAGGCUUGCUAUUGCAUUUGCAUUGAUUACUACUGUUGAGGGUAGUACGAUAACUGUAAUGAAGAAUCUUCGCAUUUGUGGGGAUUGUCAUUAUGCAAUUAAACUGAUUGCAAAGAUUGUUGAUCGUGAGAUUGUUGUGAGAGAUUCCAACCGCUUUCAUCACUUCAAGAGUGGCAUAUGCUCUUGUGGGGAUUAUUGGUAGUGAGGGCAUAAGUUUAUUUCUCCUGUCAUGAACCUUUAAAGAUCCUGAAUUUGCUCAUUAUGUUAAGCAUUGAUGAGAGUGGAUUAGCCAACACAAGCACUAUUUAAUGUGGGCUUGCUUUUAUGAUGUAAUAGACAAUGAAUUCAUGUGGAAUCCAUGGCUUUUUUUUAUCAGCUUUGGUUUUGUCUAGGAGGCCAAGGAGUUCAAGUAUUUCUCAGCUGUAUGAGUUGGGCAUGUGGAAAGUUGGAGACUUGGGAGGAUAUCUUGCAUUGGAUGGCAUUGCCAUCCACUGGCUCCAUGCAGGGAUUUCUGUUGAGAAUUGAGUAUUAUCACUUUCCUUAUGGCUUUGAUCCCACCAUAAAAAAAAGGAAGCUAUUCACAAGUAAGAUAUCCCUUCUGCAGAACUAAAUUAAGUGAGAACCCAGAGCCUUGGAAAUAGCUACUCUCCAUCUCCCUCACAGAGAGGUAGAAAUUGCGACAUUUAGAGAGAAGGAAGUACUGCUUGGUAAAAUAAAAGAAACCUGCCUUAGAGAAGUAAGUAUCGCUUGGUAAAAGAAAAGAAGCCCCCCCAAACAAAAGAAAGGUCCAUGAGAUGCAACAAAAGCUUCUUCAUCUCUGGAUGAAAUUUGACUUCACCUAAUGUUCUCUUACAAUUUUGCUGGAUCUCUUCAACAAAUCGACAGUACUGAGUUUUGGGUUGUGCUUACCAAGUUUAACACUUUUCGCAAAUGUAAGUUACACUUGGCAUUUCAUUUGAAGCUAUGUGUGCUCUAAGAGAAAAGAUUAUGGUUUUUUGUUGGACUAUUCAUGUUCUUUGGUCUCCUUAAACUUGCACAUUAUGUCAAGACUGGAGAGUUGUCUCCAAAAAUGUCUACAUAAACUGUGUUAGAUUUUUUCUCCUCCUGUUUUACUUGGUCAACAAAAUGCUGACUCUCUCCUCGCCCUUUAGUUACUUUUUAUCUUGCCGUUAUGUUUAGAAAGCAUGACUUCAUUCUGGCGUUAUUUGAAGAACUAGUUCUCUUUCAAGGUUAGAGGUGUAAAUUUUGAAGAACUGACUCUUUUGACAUCUGGUCAGGAAUGUUGCAAUUUUUUGACUACUAGAAAGUAUGUUGUCAUAUGUUGGGUAAAACAGAGCUCUAUCAUUUGUUUACAUGUGAAUAUGAUAGAUAUCCAAGAGAUCUAAACUCGUCAUUCUUUAGAGUCGUGUCACGUUGUGAUCUGAUUCGCAAUAAAGCUUUCUUCAGAUUCAUCACUUGCUAGCUUGCAUUAGAUGUUUAUAACA